UACGGAGGGUGCAAACGUUGCUCGGAAUCGUUGGGCGUAAAGCGCACGUAGGCGGUCUGGUAAGUCGGAUGUGAAAUCCCUCGGCUCAACAGAGGAAGUGCAUUCGAAACUGCCAGACUUGAAUAUGGAAGAGGGUCGCGGAAUUCCCGGUGUAGAGGUGAAAUUCGUAGAUAUCGGGAGGAACACCAGUGGCGAAGGCGGCGACCUGGGCCAAUAUUGACGCUGAGGUGCGAAAGCGUGGGGAGCAAACAGG
rnacentral:rRNA from 1 species